UACAGAGGGUGCGAGCGUUAAUCGGAAUUACUGGGCGUAAAGCGUGCGUAGACGGUUAUUUAAGUCGGAUGUGAAAGCCCCGGGCUCAACCUGGGAAUUGCAUUCGAGACUGAAUAGCUAGGGUACGGUAGAGGGAAGUGGAAUUUCCGGUGUAGCGGUGAAAUGCGUAGAUAUCGGAAGGAACACCAGUGGCGAAAGCGGCUUCCUGGUCCAGCACCGACGUUCAGGCACGAAAGCGUGGGGAGCAAACAGG
rnacentral:rRNA from 1 species